ensembl:snoRNA Gm24982 predicted gene, 24982
CCUGUCCCUAAAGACAUUGCAGAUGUAGCUGCUGUGUCACAUGUGCAUCUGUAGGUGGCAGAGAGGAGUAAGGCUAUGUCUACUCUCAGUGUUCUGACCUACAAACAUCUGAAUGAUUAGCAGUCUAAUACU